GAUGAACGCUAGCGGCAGGCUUAAUACAUGCAAGUCAAGGGGGUAGCAAUACAACCGGCGCACGGGUGAGUAACGCGUACACAACAUACCAUAUACUGGGGUAUAGCUUUGGGAAACUGAAGGUAAUCCCCCAUAACAUUGCGAGAGGGCAUCUGAUUGCAAUUAAAGUUUCGGCGGUAUAUGAUUGGUGUGCGUUUGAUUAGCUAGUUGGUAGGGUAACGGCCUACCAAGGCGACGAUCAAUAGCUGGCGUGAGAGCGCGACCAGCCACACUGGAACUGAGACACGGUCCAGACUCCUACGGGAGGCAGCAGUAGGGAAUAUUGGACAAUGGGCGCAAGCCUGAUUCAGCCAUGCCGCGUGAUAGAUGAAGGCCCUCUGGGUUGGUAAAUAAUCUUUAUCUGGGAAGAAACUCCUCUAUUCUUAGAGGCCUGACGGUACCAGAGGAAUAAGCACCGGCUAACUCCGUGCCAGCAGCCGCGGUAA
rnacentral:rRNA from 1 species